rnacentral:piRNA from 1 species
CUAGCAUCACAAGUAUUAGAGGCAAU